UACGGAGGGGGCUAGCGUUGUUCGGAAUUACUGGGCGUAAAGCGCACGUAGGCGGCUUUGUAAGUUAGAGGUGAAAGCCCAGGGCUUAACCCUGGAAUUGCCUUUAAGACUGCAUCGCUAGAAUCGUGGAGAGGUGAGUGGAACUGCGAGUGUAGAGGUGAAAUUCGUAGAUAUUCGCAAGAACACCAGUGGCGAAGGCGGCUCACUGGCCCGGUACUGACGCUGAGGUGCGAAAGCGUGGGGAGCAAACAAG
rnacentral:rRNA from 1 species